CUUGCCGCUACUGUUUGUGUAUUCUGAAUCCCUAUUUUGCACCUUCUCUCCAUGCUUCUUCUUCACCUCAUCUGAUUUUUCAUCUUGUUGUUUCUCUGAUAUUUAAUCUCAUCGUGUUAUUGAUUUUUACUCUUUUGUGAUUCAGGGUUAGUGUUUGUUUAGAUUAAGAUUUGUGUAUGAGUUUUGGUUGUAUUAGUGCAGUAGUGGUUCGAUUUCUUUCUUGAUGGUGGAAAAGUCUAUUGUUUUCUAGUUAGUUUAUUGUAAUGUUUGUCAGUCUCAUUGAUAUAUUUUGUCUAAGGGUUUGAUUUGUUCACUAACAUGUACUUCCAACUUUUAUGAAUGUUGUUUCACUAAUAUGUGCUUCUAACUUGUAUGAAUGUUAAUUAUGUUUCUUUUUUUGUGUUGAGUUUUUCACUAAUUUUGAUUUAUUUUUUUUACAGAAGCAGGGAUCCAUAUGAGAAUGCAGGGAGUUGGAUCUGAGAUUAUUAAAAAAAGCAAAGAAAGGAGUUGGAUCUAUAAACGUCCAAAUAGUUGGAUCUACAAACUGGAUGCAUCAACAAGUUUAUAUCUUUAAAACCAUAAGGAUCUGUUAUGUAGACUUAAGGAAAUUGUUUUGUUUCCUUCAAAUCCAUUAAAUAUCAGCAUAGAAAUUGAAGAAGUAGAAAAAAAGAAAUUGAAGAUAGGAAUUAAAGAUAAAUUGCCUAAGCUGGAGGAAGAGGAAUCAUCAAUGUUACAAACAAAUAUGGACAUUUGGACAAAUUUAAGUAGAUAAAAUUGAAUAAAAGAAAAAAUUGUAAUUGUCCAAUUUCUUUUUAAUUAAAAACUGAAUAAAUUAGUUUAAAAUCUUAAA